rnacentral:rRNA from 1 species
AGAGUUUGAUCCUGGCUCAGAACGAACGCUGGCGGCAUGCUUAACACAUGCAAGUCGCACGGUGGCUUCGGCCACAGUGGCGCACGGGUGAGUAACGCGUGGGAACCUGCCUUCUGGUAGGGAAUAACUGCGGGAAACUGCAGCUAAUACCCUAUGUCUGCUGCGGCAGAAAGAUUUAUCGCCGGAAGAGGGGCCCGCGU